rnacentral:rRNA from 1 species
AUUGAACGCUGGCGGCAGGCCUAACACAUGCAAGUCGAGCGAUCGGCGUACGGUUGAGUAAUGUCUUGAAAACUGCCUGAUGGAGGGGGAUAACUACUGGAAACGGUAGCUAAUACCGCAUACCAUCAGAUUUCCCCAGAUGGGAUUAGCUAGUAUGUGGGGUAACGGCUCACCUAGUCGACGAUCCCUAGCUGGUCUGAGAGGAUGACCAGCCACACUGGAACUGGGACACGGUCCAGAAUCCUACGGGAGGCAGAAGUGGGGAAUAUUGCACAAUGGGCGCAAGCCUGAUGCAGCCAUGCCGCGUGUGUGAAGAAGGCCUUGGGGUUGUAAAGCACUUUCAGCGGGGAGGCGUUACCCGCAGAAGAAGCACCGGCUAACUCCGUGCCAGCAGCCGCGGUAAUAC